GCAGGUGUAAUCUAGCGGUUAGGAUUUUAGCCUUCCAAGCUAAACACCCGGGUUCGAAUCCCGGCACCUGCA
rnacentral:tRNA from 1 species